AGUGGGGAAUAUUGGACAAUGGGCGCAAGCCUGAUCCAGCCAUGCCGCGUGAGUGACGAAGGUCUUCGGAUUGUAAAGCUCUUUUGGCGGGGAAGAUAAUGACGGUACCCGCAGAAUAAGCCCCGGCUAACUUCGUGCCAGCAGCCGCGGUAAUACGAAGGGGGCUAGCGUUGUUCGGAAUCACUGGGCGUAAAGCGCACGUAGGCGGAUGUGCCAGUCAGGGGUGAAAUCCCGGAGCUCAACUUCGGAACUGCCUCUGAUACAGCACGUCUUGAGUCCGGAAGAGGUGGGUGGAAUUCCUAGUGUAGAGGUGAAAUUCGUAGAUAUUAGGAAGAACACCGGUGGCGAAGGCGGCCCACUGGUCCGGUACUGACGCUGAGGUGCGAAAGCGUGGGGAGCAAA
rnacentral:rRNA from 1 species